rnacentral:rRNA from 1 species
CCUACGGGGGGCAGCAGUGAGGAAUAUUGGUCAAUGGGCGGAAGCCUGAACCAGCCAAGUCGCGUGAGGGAGUAAGGCCCUACGGGUCGUAAACCUCUUUUGCCGGGGAGCAGUGCCCAGCUCGUGAGCUGGGAGGGAGCGUACCCGGAGAAACAGCAUCGGCUAACUCCGGGCCAGCAGCCGCGGUAAUACGGGGGAUGCGAGCGUUAUCCGGAUUUAUUGGGUUUAAAGGGUGCGUAGGCGGGCCUUCAGGCCGGCGGUAAAAUUGCGGGGCUCAACCCCGCCGAGCCGUCGGAACCGGGAGGCUGGAGUACCGGAGAGGUACGCGGAAUGCGUGGUGUAGCGGUGAAAUGCAUAGAUAUCACGCAGAACCCCGAUGGCGAAGGCAGCGUACUGGCCGGUCACUGACGCGGAGGCACGAAAGCGCGGGUAGCGAACAGGAUUAGAUACCCUAGUAGUC